rnacentral:lncRNA from 1 species
CCUCAGAAAUUAAUAGGCACAACCCCAAGGCACAAGAUAUGCAGCCUCCUCAUUGCUUGUCUCUUGCCCACUCACACACAUAGAGUAGCAUGUUAUGGCACUUACACUAAUAAAGCCACUGCUAUCAAAGUUCUGGACUUGAUUUCCAGCAGUAUUAGCUCUGUUUUACCCUCAAGCUUCUGGGUUAGUGGGUUAUUGCUCACCAAAGAAGUUCUGGUUGGAAGAAGAGGUAAGAUAUCUCCAGAGCCGCUGAGAAGAAUGAGUAAGAUUUCUUGGGGAGGAUUAAAGGUCUCCUUCUGGAGUUGGGCCACAGGAUGAUAUUCAACUGAGGGGCUCUGAGAGUGCACCUGACCUCACCUUUGGAAGGGUGGUUUGUAUUCAAGCCCAAAUCAACUCAACUCACAGUAUUGACCCACGCUGGUUCCGUUUUUGACUCUAAAGUCUUCCUUCAGUUUACAAUCUAUUCACCAAAAUUCUCUAUCUGAAGCAGGUUGCUGUGAACUCAAAACAUUUUUGAGGACAUUUCUUCCAAUACUUCCUUUUGUAUCGAAAGAGGGAAAGAGAAAGAGAGAAAGAACAUUUGAAAACUUCAGAAAGUGGAAACUGACAGCCACCUCUCUACAGAAAGGUAAAGGAAUGAACCCUUUGGAAAGUUCAUUCAACAUGGCAAUGAUGGAUUAGUAUGUGUUCAUGUUAUUAACAUAUUAGAGAUGGCCUCACACUUCAUAACUUAAUAUCUAUAUUAUUCAGAGUCACCUUUCCUGCUACUUUUUCUCACUAACCAACAAAUACACUAUGCUUCAUUUAUUUAUUUUAAAUAUUUUAAAGUAUUUAAAUGAAUGCACUAUGCUUUAUUUGUUUAGAUUGUAUUUAUUUUACUGUGUGGCUCACUACACAGAUCCUCAUGACCUGCAAUCUCUGGUGCUAAGCUUACACUGUGUUUAUUUUUUCUCCCCAUCGACUUCUUUGUCUAUGCAGUUUUCCUGUUAUUAUACGUGGGUAGUUUGAAAACUAUCCAAGUCUUUUCCAAAGCCAGUUAAUUGUCUUGUUUCAACACCAGAAAUACAUCUUGUGAUGUGAUCAGAAUUUCACUAUUAUCAAAAUAUUCUUAUCCGUGACAGAGAAAAAUGGGACACCUUACAAAAUCUCCAGUUCCUCUGUAAUAUGAACUCUAAUACACUGCUGCUCAAUGUCUCUUUUACCCCACAAAGUUAUUAAUCUCCUUAUGGGCAGCAAACUAACUUUCCUUUUACACCCAGGUUUUACCUGGCCCACAGUUUGUCAAUUGCUUCUUUUUAAAAGAUUUGAAAA